CUGCGCGCGACACGUCGGGCGCCUUGGCACCUGCGGUUUGAUUAGUCUCCAUCAGUCUUAAGGUUGCAGCCUGGCCGCCCGCGUCUUUUGCCUUCGGCCGCUAAGAUCUCGCGAGAUUUCCCGGGGCUGCCCACGCCGCGCCUGCGCAGAGCUCUUCAAAGCAGAAGGUCGCUCUUGGGAGGAAGUGGCCUUUUGCGUCCCGUGCCCGGAGCGCCGUUACUACUUUCUCGAAGCUCUCCUCGGCUCCCUUGCCGGGACACUCUGCCGCUAAGAUGCCCCGGAUUAUGAUCAAAGGGGGAGUGUGGAGGAACACGGAGGAUGAAAUUCUGAAAGCAGCGGUAAUGAAAUAUGGGAAAAACCAGUGGUCUAGGAUUGCCUCAUUGCUGCAUAGGAAAUCGGCAAAGCAGUGCAAAGCCAGAUGGUACGAAUGGCUGGAUCCAAGUAUUAAAAAAACUGAAUGGUCCAGAGAAGAGGAAGAAAAACUCUUGCACCUGGCCAAGCUGAUGCCAACGCAGUGGAGGACCAUUGCUCCGAUCAUAGGAAGAACAGCAGCCCAGUGCUUGGAACACUAUGAGUUCCUCCUGGACAAAACUGCCCAAAGGGACAAUGAAGAAGAAACAACAGAUGACCCCCGAAAGCUUAAGCCUGGAGAGAUAGAUCCAAACCCAGAGACCAAGCCAGCCCGGCCUGACCCGAUAGACAUGGAUGAGGAUGAACUUGAGAUGCUCUCCGAGGCUCGAGCCCGUCUGGCCAAUACUCAAGGAAAGAAGGCUAAAAGGAAAGCAAGAGAAAAGCAGUUGGAAGAAGCCAGGCGCCUUGCUGCCCUCCAGAAAAGACGAGAGCUUCGAGCAGCUGGCAUAGAGAUUCAGAAGAAAAGGAAAAAGAAGAGAGGCGUUGAUUAUAAUGCUGAAAUCCCAUUUGAAAAAAAGCCUGCUCUUGGUUUUUAUGAUACUUCUGAGGAGAAUUACCAGGCCCUUGAUGCAGAUUUCAGGAAACUGCGGCAGCAGGAUCUUGAUGGAGAGCUAAGAUCUGAAAAAGAAGGAAGAGAUAGGAAAAAAGACAAACAGCAUUUAAAAAGGAAAAAGGAGUCUGAUUUACCAUCAGCUAUCCUCCAAACCAGUGGUGUCUCUGAGUUCACUAAAAAGAGAAGCAAACUUGUGUUGCCUGCGCCUCAGAUUUCAGAUGCUGAACUCCAGGAAGUUGUCAAGGUAGGCCAGGCCAGUGAAGUCGCACGGCAGACGGCGGAGGAGUCAGGAAUAACAAACUCUGCUUCUAGCACUCUCCUGUCUGAGUACAAUGUCACAAACAACAGCAUCGCUCUGAGAACACCACGGACACCAGCCUCUCAAGACAGGAUUCUACAGGAAGCUCAGAACCUCAUGGCCUUGACCAAUGUGGACACUCCAUUGAAAGGUGGGCUUAAUACCCCACUGCAUGAGAGUGACUUCUCUGGUGUGACCCCACAGCGGCAAGUUGUGCAGACUCCAAAUACAGUUCUGUCUACCCCUUUCAGAUUGUAAGCUCCUUGGGGGCAGGGACCAUGUCUUAAAUGAUAACACCGCACCUGUUGGGAACAGAUGUCUGGCAGUACCAUCAGUCUGGAACACAGCCAAGAUACAGGAAGACUCCUUCUAAUGGAGCUGAAGGGCUGACUCCCCGAAGUGGAACAACUCCUAAACCAGUCACUAAUGCCACCCCAGGUAGAACACCACUUAGAGACAAGUUAAACAUUAAUCCAGAGGAUGGAAUGGCAGACUACAGUGACCCCUCUUACGUGAAGCAGAUGGAAAGAGAAUCUCGUGAACAUCUCCGUUUAGGGUUGUUAGGCCUCCCCGCACCUAAGAAUGAUUUUGAAAUUGUUCUGCCUGAAAAUGCCGAGAAGGAACUAGAAGAACGUGAAAUAGAUGAUACCUACAUUGAAGAUGCUGCUGAUGUGGAUGCUCGAAAGCAGGCCAUCCGAGAUGCUGAGCGUGUAAAGGAAAUGAAACGAAUGCAUAAAGCUGUUCAGAAGGAUCUGCCCAGGCCGUCUGAAGUAAAUGAAACUAUUUUAAGACCUUUAAAUGUAGAACCACCUCUAACAGAUUUACAGAAGAGUGAAGAACUGAUCAAAAAAGAAAUGAUUACGAUGCUUCAUUAUGAUCUUCUACAUCAUCCCUACGAACCAUCUGGAAAUAAAAAAGGAAAAAAUGUUGGGUUUGCUACCAACAAUUCAGAGCACAUUACCUAUCUUGAGCACAGCCCUUAUGAGAAGUUCUCCAAAGAAGAUCUGAAAAAGGCCCAGGAUGCUCUGGUACAAGAGAUGGAAGUGGUCAAACAAGGAAUGAGCCAUGGCGAACUCUCCAGUGAAGCUUACAACCAGGUGUGGGAGGAAUGCUACAGUCAAGUCCUCUAUCUUCCUGCUCAGAGCCGCUACACUCGUGCUAAUCUUGCUAGCAAAAAGGACAGAAUUGAAUCACUUGAAAAGAGACUUGAGAUAAACAGGGGUCACAUGACAACAGAAGCCAAGAGAGCUGCAAAGAUGGAAAAGAAGAUGAAGAUUUUGCUUGGUGGUUACCAGUCUCGUGCUAUGGGGCUCAUGAAGCAGUUGAAUGACUUAUGGGACCAGAUUGAGCAGGCUCACUUGGAGCUACGCACUUUUGAAGAACUCAAGAAACAUGAAGACUCUGCUAUUCCCCGUAGGCUAGAGUGUCUAAAAGAAGAUGUGCAGCGGCAACAGGAACGAGAGAAAGAGCUUCAGCAGAGAUACGCGGAUUUGCUGAUGGAGAAAGAGACUUUACAGGCAAAGUUCUGAAGCACAGUGGAUGCUCUGCCACAGGAGAUCGAGUUGCUGGUUUCCUACUCAGCAAGGCUGAACUGAGCUUCCUCUUCAUUGACAAGUUACCCAGCACCGUGGUUUCUCAGUUGUUUGUUUUGAAUGAUACUGAUCUUUGCGUUCCGUGUUACAGACUUGGACUCCAGGAUAAUGAGGGUUUAAAUUAUCCAGAUGCUCAUUCUUUGCCAGUGUCAUAUUUACAAAAUUUCGUAGUUUAGGCCUUUAAUUUAAAAAGCCUGACUUUAAAUACUGCCUGUGAGUAAACCCUUGAAUAAAAAGAACAUGUGAAAAAUUGA